CAAAUAUAUAUGCUCAAAGACUGCAGGCAAUUUUUUCAAGACGAUCUCUGUCAUCUGAUUUAUUAACACCAGGAACAAAAACUAGGUCCAAGCACCUUACAAUUAUUACACAUACUUAAAAUCAAAAAAAUAAAUAGCAGUGUCCUCUUUAAAAGUAAAAAUAAUAGUAGUGUCGAGCUAAACUUCUAUGCAUACAUAAACUUAAGCAAAUCACUGAACGGCCAAGUAAACACGGAAUGUGGAAAACGUGCACCUCACGAUGCGAUUAAGAAUGUGAUGAGAGAACAGAGCACAUAUAGCCACGAACAAGCCACCAGAUGAGAAUCUCUUGGAUCGAUGGCGAAGCCACUAUCAUAGAGACACAAGGCUUUCAACCAUCAAGCAGCAAUCUGACCGAACAGACUCUUGCGUAUCUGCGAUCAGAUAUGAGUUAUAUUAAGGGUUAUUUGGUAGGACUAAUAAGUAAAGAGAAUGUUCAUAUUAAUAUUUUAUCCUUUCAGGCUGCGUUUACUUUGAUGGAUAAAUUUAUCCAUGGAAAAGAAUGGAUAACAAAAAUUUAUGCCUUGAAAUGUCUCUUUUCUUUUCCAACAUUUGACACAAGAGCAUUUUUCCUUCCUUAUUUUCACUUCAAGGGAGGAUAAUAUUAUCACACCAAAAAUGGAGGGAUAAUAUUAUCCACCCUUGAAGUGAUAAGGAAGGAAAAAUGCAUUUGUGUCAAAUGUUGGAAAAGAAAUGGGACACUUAAAGGCAUNAUAAUAUUAUCCACCCUUGAAGUGAAAAUAAGGAAGGAAAAAUGCAUUUGUGUCAAAUGUUGGAAAAGAAAUGGGACAUUUAAAGGCAUAAAUUUUUGUUAUCCAUCAUUUUCCAUGGAUAAAUUUAUCCAUCAAAGUAAACGCAGCCUCAUAGGUUUCUACAGUAUUCAUUUUCUACUCCUUACUUUCUUAGAACACUUAAUUCAGAUUAAAACCAGACGUGUUCUGCACAUUAUUCAGCAGCAGAGAUGGUGUUUAUUUAGACAAACACUCAAAUAUUGAUUCCGAGAAACAAUCUUGAAGAUUAUGAGAUACAAGUAUCAACAUUCCCUCUAACUAAUUGACAUGGAAUUAAUAGAAAACAAUAAGAAGAGUGCAAAAUAAGCAGCAUAAAAAGGAGCUUAGCUUUCUAGCGAGACAACUCAUAGUUCAAAUCUGCCAGCUUCAUAUAGUUGGCAAUUGGCAUCAUAAUGAGCGGAAACAGAAAAAAGUAAAAGCAGAGAGCUUAGAUUGGAAGGUACCUCUGGUAACUUUUUACGGAAUACAACCUCCAGUCUAGCAUCAAGAGUGUUCUCAAAAACAAUUUUCCCAUCCCUAGAAGCCAGCACCAC
rnacentral:lncRNA from 1 species